UUGAAUUUUAAUGAAGAGUUUGGUUGUAGCUGGCCAUUCAUUUGGGCAUGUGCACACCUUCCUCUUUCAUCCACACACACCUGUGAAUCUGUGAGACAGAGAUGGGGAAUUUACUUGCUGCUUUUUGGAAUACAAAGGCAAUAGGUUAUUGGACCCCCCCUCUGUCUACUCAAUUAAUAUAAACUCAGUUAUUUUAAAACGAAUGUAAUGGAUGUAACACAUCUCAUAC
rnacentral:misc_RNA from 1 species